AUUGAACGCUGGCGGCAUGCCUUACACAUGCAAGUCGAACGGCAGCACGGGGCAACCUGGUGGCGAGUGGCGAACGGGUGAGUAAUGCAUCGGAACGGACCUUUCCGUGGGGGAUAACGUAGCGAAAGUUACGCUAAUACCGCAUAUGCUGUGAGCAGGAAAGCAGGGGAUCGCAAGACCUUGCGCCGAUUGAGCGGCCGAUGUCAGUUUAGCUAGUUGGUGAGGUAAAGGCUCACCAAGGCGACGAUCUGUAGCGGGUCUGAGAGGAUGAAGCGCCACACUGGACGUGAGUCACGGUCCCGACUCCUACGUGAGGCAGCAGUGGGGAAUUUUGGACAAUGGGGUGAACCCUGAUCCAGCCAUCAGGCGUGAGUGACGCAGGCAUUCGGGUUGUAAAGCGCUUUCGACCGGGAAGAAACCGCACUGGCCAAUACCCUGUGUGUAUGACGGUACCGGAAUAAGAAGCACCGGUUAACUACGUGCCAGCAGCCGCCGUAAUAC
rnacentral:rRNA from 1 species